CGCAAAGGUGCCGCCGAAAGGCGGUGAAAAGGGAACCCGGUGCAAAUCCGGGGCGAUACAGUCACUGUGAAGGGGAGCGUUUCGGGAUGCCACUGGGAAACUGGGAAGGCAGAAACGCGGGGAACCGAGUCAGGAGACCUGCCUUUGCGU
rnacentral:ncRNA from 1 species